rfam:Roseburia sp. 831b contig000006, whole genome shotgun sequence.
UCAAAUCUUUGCAUAUUGCCGAAGACAGUAGGUGCCGCAGGGCGUAACGAUUAGACCUACCGAGGGAAUCUUUCGAUGAUUUAUCAUCAUAAGAGUGAAUGAUGACCUCUCUGUCUGCGGAUAGAGAGGUUUUUUAUAUGAAUCG